GCGAAUACGCUGUACGUGUGACAAAAGUGCGAGUACGCUGGUUUUUGUUCUUGAGUCCGAAAGCGAAACCAGUGCUCAAAAUCACCGGCCGGGGCCGGUGCAUCAGGGGGGAAAGCCGGCGAAGGAGGGUGGAGUUUCAUCAGAUCUUUUAGGGACAAGGAGCGUGCUGUGCCAGCGACUGUAAAUGGGGAAGAAAGGAAGGGCUCGUACAGGGACAGAGUUUCGUGUUCGUACGUGGACGGUGAGCGACUGUGAAUGGGGAAGAAAGAAAGGGGUCGUACAGGGAAGGAGCUUUGUGUUCGUACGUGAACGGUGUUGAUCAGAACAUCCGCCAGCCGUUGACGAGUAGUGGGCGGUGCGCCACCGCGUACGGCAACAGUGGGAGGAGAGAAGUUGGGCUGCUGUUAAGAUUCGAGCAAUUUUUUGAGGUUAUCUGGCUGGAAGCAAUAACAAGGGACCUUUGGAAGGUGGUUAGGAACAUCUCUGUUGUUUCAGCUUAUUUUAUUUAUCAAUCCUUGUAAAUCUGUAAUAGGUGAGCUUAGUUGUUCCAAGGGACAACCAAUGCUGUAAGCCAAUUUAUAUGGGCAUUUGGUUUAAGUAUUUAGAAUAUUAAAUGACAUCUACUAUAUUGUCUACAUAAAUUGGACAAGAUUUCAUUUAUUCUUUAGUCCUUAAACAUACUAACCGAUGUAUGUAGGAUGCCAAGAAUAAGCAUGUUGGAGAUCUUAAACAAUUGUUAACUCCCAUAAACUGUA